rnacentral:rRNA from 1 species
UGAGGAAUAUUGGUCAAUGGGCGAGAGCCUGAACCAGCCAAGUAGCGUGCAGGAUGACGGCUCUAUGGGUUGUAAACUGCUUUUAUAUGGGAAUAAAGUGAGGGACGUGUCCCUUAUUGCAUGUACCAUACGAAUACGGACCGGCCAAUUCCGUGCCAGCAGCCGCGGUAAUACGGAAGGUCCAGGCGUUAUCCGGAUUUAUUGGGUUUAAAGGGAGCGUAGGCUGUUUGUUAAGCGUGUUGUGAAAUGUAAGAGCUCAACUUUUAGAUUGCAGCGCGAACUGGCAGACUUGAGUGCGCACAACGUAGGCGGAAUUCAUGGUGUAGCGGUGAAAUGCUUAGAUAUCAUGACGAACUCCGAUUGCGAAGGCAGCUUACGGGAGCGCAACUGACGCUAAAGCUCGAAGGUGCGGGUAUCGAACAGG